rnacentral:ncRNA from 1 species
UUAAAAACAGUGAAGAAGGAAAGUAACUUUUAUGAGGUUUACAGAGAGAAAAGGCAGUUGAGAACUUUUCAUCCAUAUUAAUUGUGAAGUGCCCUUUGGAGUUGAGGUCUGAAAUAGUAGUAAGAUUUUCCGGGUUCACCCGUUAUAGUGAUAAGGUAUGUGCACGUACCUGAUAAAAGAGUGGGAUUUUUAAAAUCCAAUUAGAGUGGAACCGCGAAUUUUACUUCGUCUCUAUA